rnacentral:rRNA from 1 species
AACCUGGUUGAUCCUGCCAGUAGUCAUAUGCUUGUCUCAAAGAUUAAGCCAUGCAUGUGUAAGCACACACUGUUUUAAAAGUGAAGCCGCGAAUGGCUCAUUACAACAGCCACAGUUUAUUAGAACUUACAAUCAUGGAUAACUGUGGUAAUUCUAGAGCUAAUACACGCACAAAAACUUCAACUGAAUUGGUUGAAGUGCUUUUAUUAGAACAAAAACCGAACGGCGUUUGGCGAAUGUUGAACGUCGAAACUGUUUGGUGAAUCUGAAUAACUAUUUCUGAUCGCAUGGUCUAGCACCGGCGACAUCACUUUCAAGUGUCUGCCUUAUCAACCUUCGAUGGUAGUCUAUGCGACUACCAUGGUGAUAACGGGUAACGGAGAAUCAGGGUUCGACUCCGGAGAGGGAGCCUGAGAAACGGCUACCACAUCCAAGGAAGGCAGCAGGCGCGCAAAUUACCCACUCCCAGCUUGGGGAGGUAGUGACGAAAAAUAACGAGACGAUUCUCGUUUGAGAAACGUUAUCGAAAUGAGUACGCUUUACACACGCUAACGAGUAGCAAUUGGAGGGCAAGUCUGGUGCCAGCAGCCGCGGUAAUUCCAGCUCCAAUAGCGUAUAUUAAAGUUGCUGCGGUUAAAACGCUCGUAGUUGAAUUGUGGUCUUAGACAACAGUCCCCCUACAUAGGUGUGGCACGGUUGCUCGAGAUCUUCAUUCGUGGUUGCUGUUGUUGCUCUUCAUUGAGUGUCAAUGGUGCCUCGAGAUUUUACUUUGAAAAAAUUAGAGUGCUCAAAGCAGGUUGUGAUGCCUGAAUAAUGGUGCAUGGAAUAAUAGAAUACGAUCUCGGUUCUAUUUUGUUGGUUUUCGAACCGGAAAUAAUGAUUGAAAGGAACAGACGGGGGCAUUCGUAUUGCUGCGUUAGAGGUGAAAUUCUUGGAUCGCAGCAAGAUGAACAAUUGCGAAAGCAUUUGCCAAGAAUGUUUUCAUUAAUCAAGAACGAAAGUUAGAGGUUCGAAGGCGAUCAGAUACCGCCCUAGUUCUAACGGUAAACUAUGCCAACCAGCGAUUCGCCGAAGUUCAUUUAAGACUCGGCGAGCAGCUUCCGGGAAACCAAAGUGUUUCGGUUCCGGGGGAAGUAUGGUUGCAAAGCUGAAACUUAAAGGAAUUGACGGAAGGGCACCACCAGGAGUGGAGCCUGCGGCUUAAUUUGACUCAACACGGGAAAACUCACCCGGCCCGGACACUGGAAGGAUUGACAGAUUGACAGCUCUUUCUUGAUUCAGUGGGUGGUGGUGCAUGGCCGUUCUUAGUUGGUGGAGCGAUUUGUCUGGUUAAUUCCGAUAACGAACGAGACUCUACCCUAUUAAAUAGUGACAGUAUUGUAUUUAUUGUGCUGAUCACUUCUUAGAGGGACUGGCAAAUUGAAAGCUGCACGAAAAAGAGCAAUAACAGGUCUGUGAUGCCCUUCGAUGUCCGGGGCCGCACGCGCGCUACAAUGAAAGCGUCAACGUGAGUUACGUCCUUACCUGAAAAGGUUUGGCAAUCGAAUGAAACGUUUUCUUGAAUGGAAUAGGGAAUUGCAAUUGUUUCCCUUGAACGAGGAAUUCCCAGUAAGCGUGAGUCAUUAGCUCGCGUUGAUUACGUCCCUGCCCUUUGUACACACCGCCCGUCGCUACUACCGAUUGGAUGAUUUAGUGAGGUGUUUUGACUGGCGCCAGUAGUCGGAUGUAUUCGGCUUCGCGCCGGGAAAUUUCCCAAACCAAAUCAUCUAGAGGAAGUAAAAGUCGUAACAAGGUUUCCGUAGGUGAACCUGCGGAAGGAUCAUUA